rnacentral:rRNA from 1 species
UACAGAGGUCCCGAGCGUUGUUCGGAUUCACUGGGCGUAAAGGGUGCGUAGGUGGUGAGGUAAGUCGGAUGUGAAAUCUCCGAGCUCAACUCGGAAAUGGCAUUGGAAACUACCUUGCUCGAGGGUUGGAGGGGGGACUGGAAUGCUUGGUGUAGCAGUGAAAUGCGUAGAUAUCAAGCGGAACACCAGUGGCGAAGGCGAGUCCCUGGACAACUCCUGACACUGGGGCACGAAAGCUAGGGGAGCAAACAGG